GAUCAUGGCUCAGGAUGAACGCUGGCGGCAUGCCUAAGACAUGCAAGUCGAACGAGAUGGCCCAGCGAAGGUUGAGUGCUUGCACAAGACUGAACCUGGAUUCCCAUCUAGUGGCAGACGGGUGAGUAACACGUGGGUGACCUACCUUUUCGUUGGGGAUAACAGUUGGAAACGAUUGCUAAUACCGAAUAAAAUGUAAGAGUCAAUUUUACAUUGAAAGGAGCCUUUAAAGCUUCGCGAUUAG
rnacentral:rRNA from 1 species